GGUGAGGUGGCCGAGCGGUCUAAGGCGCCAGACUAAGGUUGGGUGUUCUACUCUCUUUCAGUGUACAAAUCUGGUCCGAAAGGGCGUGGGUUCGAAUCCCACCCUCAUCA